UACGUAGGGCGCAAGCGUUGUCCGGAAUUAUUGGGCGUAAAGAGCUCGUAGGCGGUCUGUCGCGUCUGGUGUGAAAACUCGAGGCUCAACCUCGAGCUUGCAUCGGGUACGGGCAGACUAGAGUGCGGUAGGGGUGACUGGAAUUCCUGGUGUAGCGGUGGAAUGCGCAGAUAUCAGGAGGAACACCGAUGGCGAAGGCAGGUCACUGGGCCGCAACUGACGCUGAGGAGCGAAAGCAUGGGGAGCGAAC
rnacentral:rRNA from 1 species